CUGUCUGCAGCCCAAGAAGAAAGCCCACACCAGGAACCGAGGGUGCUGGCACCUUGAGUUUUGACUUCCCAACCUCCAGAAUGUGCUGGCCAUAAGUGGAGAACAAGAGAGACAUGGUGGCUGCCUUCCUGAGCUGAUAAUCUGAACGAGGUGGAGCUGGAUGGCAGAGGGAGAGACAAAGAGGACAAAUAUACAACAGAUAAACAAGAGAACGUUGGAAAGUGCUGAAUGCACUGAAGAAGUUAAGUAGGGUGUUGCAAUCAAGAGAGAUGUGGUGAUUUCAGACCAGGUGGUCAGGACGGCCUCUCUGAGUGGGACCUUACAUUGGUCUUGGAAGCACAUGGGAGGGUCUAGGAGCAGAGCAGUUCAGGCAGAUGGGGGGCUGGAGCAGAGGCCUUAGGUGAGGCAGCAGUCAUGUCAGCUGAGAUCCUAUAGGGAAAAGGACCCCACAUCGCUGAAAGCCCUGUAGCCCAGGGCAAGUGGCACGGAGAAAGGGAAAUGGGUAGCAGUUUGGAGACCUAAGUUCUAAUCCUAGAUUUGCCACAAAGUAGCUGGGUUGCCUUGGACAUGCCAUAAUAUAGCCCUGGCCUCAGUUUCCUUAUCUGUCAAAUGGGAACACAAAUCCUGCCCUUUCCUAGAGGUACGCUAUGAGGGGGCAUGGAGUAGGCGUGACCUGCCCUCAAACACCCAGCUCCCAUAUGUCCAUGUGUAGUGAUAAAAGCCAGUCUGUCUUAGGCCCCUCCAGGAGUCUGGGCUGCAGGGAUGAGGGGCCUCCAGGCCAUCCACCCUCAUGCACAAUGCAAGCCCUGUGCUGGCCCCAUGGACAACAGGCGCAGGAGAGAGGGUCUGCUUUUUCUUUUCAUGGACUUGAGACUUCAAGCCUUUGGACUGAGCGCCAACAAUAAUUCAUCAGGAACACUUUACAACUCAGCAUUACAAAACCUGUUAGGAGACAGAUCGCCCACAGGACAGCCUUUGAGAAGGAAAUGUGUUCAGGCCUGGUGACCUCAAGAUGAUUAAUGAUUUUUAACAGGGUGAACUCUGUCCUCCCCCUCCCAUGUACUGUGUUCACACUCCCUGCCUCCCCUGACUUGUUUGCAGGAGAAAGGGGAGGGUGAGAGGGAGGAGGGGAGGGGAAGGAAUAGGUGGGAGCAGGGGAUGCUUGAAGGCAAAGCCCACCAAUCAUAAGGAAAAUGCAGGAAUAAGAGCACUCUGUCAGAAAUGCAGAAAUGUCUUAUUGUUAUUGUUUUACUUUUUCUUUUUUUUGGCAAACACAGCCUUGGAGGCUUUAUAUCUUGAAAUCUGUGUAAUGUGUCACAACUCCAGUAAGCUUUUUUGUGUUAGGCUUUUUGCACAGUGCCUUGCGCUUUCAGCCAUUAUUAUUAUUAUUAUCACCUCUCCAUCCCCAUGGACACAAACCUUGAUGUUAUUGAAUGUGGGAUGUGUUGGAAAAGGUAAUGAUGAUUUCACCUUUUGAUUUUUAAAGUCAUGGUAACUUGACUUUUAUGUUACUAGAUUUAAAAAAUUACAACAGUGAUAUAUGCAGUUUUAACAAACCAAAAAUACAGAGUUACUGGAAGAAAAAUUUCUAAUCUUUCCCUAUACCCUUCUUUAGUCCGAAACCCCUGAGGUCAUCAAUGUCAAAUCAAGGCAAUCCUUUGUAGUACUGUAUACAUAUUAAUCCAGAGUGAUGUCCUCAUACAUGAUCCUAUAGAACAUGGAUGUUCAGCUGAAAACCAAGAAUAAUGGCAGGCCUUUACAAUUUUGUGGGAAAAGCAAAUUUAUGAUGAUAAGGAGAUGAUAGCUAAUAUUUAUUAACUAUUUAUAUUAAAGAUACUCUUACAUUAACAGUAUUCUUUAGAGUACCUUUAUAUUAAAGGUACUCUGUUCAAGUGUAUUACGUGUGUUAUUUAGAUGAUAAUUACUAUUUAUUGAUUAUUUACAUUAAAGGUAUUCUGUUCUAGUGCAUUAUAUGUGUUAUUUAGAUGAUAAUAUUUAUUGGUUACUUACAUUAAAGGUACUCUAUUCUAGUGCAUUACAUGUUAUUUAAUCCUCAUAAUAGCCAUUGAAGGUAUUUAGAAAUAUUCUUCCCACUUCACAGAUGAGGAAACUGAGCUAUGCAGUCAGCUUGGAAGUCUUAGAACCAGGAUUGGAGUUCAGGAGGUCUCACUCUCAGCCCUGUGCUCUGCUGGAUGAGCUUUUCUUAGUUUUAAGUCUUUCUCCUAUAAUCUUUCCUGAAACUCUGUUGACCUACCUGAAUGUCUGCUUGCAAGUCUUUACAGACAGCAAAAUAAAUGACAGAGUAGCAAGUGAGUGAUUAAGGAUGAAGGUUCCGCUCCCCGAUACCCACUGUGAUGGCUACUUCCUCUGUGGAUCCUCAUUCUGGGAAGGAUUGAAGCAUUUUAUAUCUGUUGCAUCAAGAGAAACCCAGGCCUCCUGUAAAAUGGAUCUAACUCCACUGCCUCCUAUUUCCCAUUACAAUCCAUGAAGGAUUUAUUAUUCCUGCUACUCACUGAGUGACGUCGGGUGAGUCACUGUCUGAGCUUCAGCUUCCUAUCCAUAAAAUGGGACUAGCAAUGCAAUGGGAUUGUUGUGAAG
rnacentral:lncRNA from 1 species